rnacentral:rRNA from 4 species
GGUUAAGCGACUAAGCGUACACGGUGGAUGCCCUGGCAGUCAGAGGCGAUGAAGGGCGUGCUAAUCUGCGAUAAGCGCCGGUAAGGUGAUAUGAACCGUUAUAACCGGCGAUACCCGAAUGGGGAAACCCAGUGUGACUCGUCACACUAUCAUUAACUGAAUCCAUAGGUUAAUGAGGCGAACCGGGGGAACUGAAACAUCUAAGUACCCCGAGGAAAAGAAAUCAACCGAGAUUCCCCCAGUAGCGGCGAGCGAACGGGGAGGAGCCCAGAGCCUGAAUCAGCAUGUGUGUUAGUGGAAGCGUCUGGAAAGGCGCGCGAUACAGGGUGACAGCCCCGUACACAAAAGCGCAUGUGCUGUGAGCUCGAUGAGUAGGGCGGGACACGUGGUAUCCUGUCUGAAUAUGGGGGGACCAUCCUCCAAGGCUAAAUACUCCUGACUGACCGAUAGUGAACCAGUACCGUGAGGGAAAGGCGAAAAGAACCCCGGCGAGGGGAGUGAAAAAGAACCUGAAACCGUGUACGUACAAGCAGUGGGA